GGAGCCGCGCGGAGUGACAAAGCCGCCGCUGCCGCCGCCGGGGGUGGGAGCCGCGCUCGCCCGCCCGCCCCUCGACUCGCGAGGGCGUAAAAGUUUGUCUCAGCUCGAGCAUUCCUAGCGCCAACACGCCCUCAGGUAAAGGUGGAAGUAAAUGGCCACGCUGUAUUGACAGAGACAGGGACUGAGAAACGGAAAUACUACCAUCCUCCAGCCAAUCUGUUGGGAGGACUGCUUGCAGAGGACUCGUGCUCCAGAUGUUGCACUAGAGGCGCUGCAAGUGUGAGCAGCAGGUAGAUGAAACUCAAGAGAAAAGGUGUGGAUAAAUGAAACUAGCCCAUGAUGAACCUGUUUUCUCCGUGACCACAAUAUUAACCAGGAUGAAUGGCGGUGGCAGUGGGCCUGCAUCACAGGUUGCAGCAGAUGUUCUCAAUAUUUCUAUUAAAAUUUCCUUAUUUCCAUAUGCAAGAGGAGCCCCAGAGCUGCAUCCUUAUGGUAGCUACCAUGCCGUGAUGUAAGCUGCCAUUCACUGGGGAGCUUUGGCAAUAGAAUUGGCUAGAUCAGGAAGCCUAUGUCAACUAUGGAACAACAACUUGCAGCUCAUCUCUAUUGAUGGUGAAACAGUCGCAAAUGGAAUUCCAAGAAACAUUCUAUAUACACUGCCUCUAGGACUGGGACAGAUAGCCACUGAGUACCUGCUUCAAAUCACCCUGCACGUUUUCUCUUUGGAAAGAUAAGCACUGGAGAACCAUCUCGUUACCUUCAGCAGAAAUGGAAACAAAUCAAGACAUUAAGAAUGCCGCAGUGGACAGCAGUUAUGCAAGGUUCAGCAGAGGAAGUUUUCAAGAUGGUGUGCCUCACUAGCCAGAAAUCAGAAAAGAUCGAAGCUAGCCUUUUCAUCUCAGCUGCUCCUUAAAUCAGUGCAACCCCUCCAAAUUAAUGUGAAUUGAAACUUGCAUUGCUUUUCAACUUAAUUGAAUACUUACUAUAUGUGAACCACUGCACAAAAUAGGGGAAGAAGAUGUGGGAGACAAAGAUGUGGAGCCUGUCUUCAAUAAAUUUACAGUUAGUUUCAGGGUACAUUGUUUUUCUUCUGCUGUUAAUUAGGUGUAUCCCCAAGACAAUAAAUACAUGAAUGGAAAAGUAUAUUCUGUGUUUUAAGUCUCUUUAAUAAAAAACAAAACAAAAUCCAAAAAAACUCCUAACAUGGCAACUCAGGACAUUUUAAUCCUUUUUUUUGUUGUUGGGCUUCUGAUAGGAUCCAUUUUAUUGAUUCCAUAAAUAUUUAGUAGACUUUAGACAUAUUAAUACAUUGUAGUUUGAGUUAAUUUGCAUUAAAUUCUGUUUUUUUCCCCUUAGGUAUAGAUUGUCUGUUGGAAAAAUAUAUUGCUUGUGGAUUUCUUGGGGAGUGGGAAGGUGAAUUAUACCUGUUGUCUCUACAGUCCACUACCUUCCACACCCUAGGGCAGUGGUCCCCAACCUUCUUGGCACCAGGGAUCAGUUUCCUGGAAGACAAUUUUUCUGUGGAUGGUGUGGGGAUGGUUUUGGGAUGGAACUGUUCCACCUCAGAUCAUCAGGCAUUAGUUAGGCUCUCAUAACGAGUGCGCAGCCUAGAUCCCUCACAUGCACAGUUCACAGUAGGGUUUGCGCUGCUAUGAGAAUCUAAGGCUGCCACUGAUCUGACAGGAGGCAGAACUCAGGUGGCAAUGCUUACUGGCCCACUGCUCACCUCUUGCUGUGCGGCCUGGUUCCUAAUAGGCCAUGGACCCCCACAGACGGGUACUAGUCUGCAGCCUGUGGACCCCAGCCCUAGGGGCCUGCCAUUCUGAGUGAGUUAUUAGCAUGAAGAAGAGGAAGAUCUGGAUCAAACGUGGGUGAUGGUACUCAGAGACCCAAGAUAGGAUAGGGAUGGAACAAAAUCCAUCUGGGCAACGGCUCUAUGAAAAUUUGGCUAAGUAAUUAUUUCAGUAUUCAUUGUAUUCAUUGUCCUUCGUGUUCCAUAAGUUAAAUGACUGUCUAAUUUUUCCAAAAAUUUAUUUCUGACUUGAGAAUAAGUGUGUCAUGAUUUUCCCAGUGUAAAGACACUGAUAUAACUGUAGAUACCAGACAUUUUAUGUAGUGUCUAUGACACAUUUUAGUAUGUAUGAGCCAACAAUAGACAUGUCUUUGUCUUGAGGAGUGUCCAUCUGAAUUGAAAAUGUGUCAGCUUUUUUUUAACAUCAUCAACAGACUUCUUAAUUAAGCUGCCAAUACAUACUGCCAAUAGCACUGUGUGCUGUCUGAGAAAUGCAUUGUGUAAGUGCUAUUUCCAUCUUAUUAAAUAAACAAUGUUGCUCUGUAUAAACUGGAUUUAAAGUGUUCUUUGAAUGAGGCAUUAUAUUGCUCCAUAAAUAAUGUGAUGUGAAUUCUCAUAUGAUCCCUUUUAACUUAAUUUCUAAAAAAAUAUUAUUUGCUCCUCAGUAAGGAAUAGCUCUAAUUGGACUGGUAACUUUAGUGAUAUGAUUUGUCUGUAACAGGCUGAAUCGCCCCACUCCCAAACUCCUGGUCGUGAUACUGGAUAUUUGUUAUGCCACUUUUAGUUUGCAUGAGGUAUCUUCCAGGAAGUAUUAGUUAUUAACUUGUGUUCUACUAAACUGUAGAUAUUUAUUUCCUGUUCUGGAAGAUUUCUUGGAGUGUCCAUCUGUGCAUUCCUGGUGCCUAGUGUAGUCUUGCUAAUGGAAUAGCACCUUUAUUGGUGCUACUUAGGGGUUGGUAGCUUACAAUCAAUCUACUUGGAACGUAUCCAAA
ensembl:lncRNA NR2F1-AS1 NR2F1 antisense RNA 1